rfam:Lasallia pustulata genome assembly, contig: scaffold26805_size937
AUGGCUAUAGGUUAAUGGUAGACCGUUCGUCUUCCAAACGAAGUAUGUCGAUUCAACUUCGACUAGCCAUA